UAUUAAGUUGAUAAAAAUGUAAUUGCGGUUUUUGCCAUUACUUUCAAUGGCAAAACCUGCAAUUACUUUGGCACCAACCUAGAUA
rnacentral:miRNA from 1 species